rnacentral:rRNA from 1 species
GCGGCGCAUUAGCUAGUUGGUGAGGGUAACGGCUCACCAAGGCAAUGAUGCGUAGCCGACCUGAGAGGGUAAUCGGCCACAUUGGGACUGAGACACGGCCCAAACUCCUACGGGAGGCAGCAGUAGGGAAUCUUCCACAAUGGACGAAAGUCUGAUGGAGCAACGCCGCGUGAGUGAAGAAGGGUUUCGGCUCGUAAAACUCUGUUGUUAAAGAAGAACAUGUCUGAGAGUAACUGUUCACCCAUUGACGGUAUUUAACCAGAAAGCCACGGCUAACUACGUGCCAGCAGCCGCGGUAAUACGUAGGUGGCAAGCGUUAUCCGGAUUUAUUGGGCGUAAAGCGAGCGCAGGCGGUUUUUUAAGUCUGAUGUGAAAGCCUUCGGCUCAACCGAAGAAGUGCAUUGGAAACUGGGAGACUUGAGUGCAGAAGAGGACAGUGGAACUCC